GGAGCGCGGCGGUGCCGGCGGGGCCGGCGGGGCCCGCGCCCUCCCGCACGAUGUCAGCGCAGGGCAAGUUCAAGAAGGACAAAGAGAUCAUCGCCGACUACGAGGCGCAGGUCAAAGAGAUCCGAACGCAGCUGGUGGAGCAGUUCAAAUGCCUGGAGCAGCAGUCGGAGUCGCGCCUGCAGCUGCUGCAGGACCUGCAGGAGUUCUUCCGCAGGAAGGCCGAGAUCGAGCUGGAGUACUCCCGCAGCCUGGAGAAGCUGGCUGAGCGCUUCUCCUCCAAGAUCCGCAGCUCCAGAGAGCACCAGUUCAAGAAAGAUCAGCACCUCCUGUCCCCUGUGAACUGCUGGUACCUGGUUCUGACGCAGACCCGUCGGGAGAGCCGAGACCACGCCACCCUGAACGACAUCUUCAUGAACAAUGUCAUCGUCCGGCUGUCACAGAUCAGCGAGGACGUCAUCAGGCUCUUCAAAAAGAGCAAGGAGAUUGGCCUCCAGAUGCACGAGGAGCUCCUGAAGGUCACCAAUGAGCUCUACACGGUGAUGAAGACCUACCACAUGUACCAUGCAGAGAGCAUCAGCGCCGAGAGCAAGCUGAAGGAGGCAGAGAAGCAGGAAGAAAAGCAGUUCAACAAGUCAGGGGACAUCAGUGUCAACCUGCUGCGACAUGAGGACCGGCCUCAGCGGCGCAGCUCCGUCAAGAAGAUCGAGAAGAUGAAAGAGAAGAGACAAGCCAAGUAUUCUGAAAACAAGCUGAAGUGUACAAAAGCCAGGAAUGACUACCUGCUGAACCUGGCAGCCACCAACGCAGCCGUCAGCAAGUACUACAUCCACGACGUGUCCGACCUCAUCGACUGCUGCGAUCUGGGAUUCCACGCCAGCCUUGCUCGCACCUUCAGGACAUACCUGUCUGCCGAGUACAACCUGGAGACGUCGCGCCACGAGGGCCUGGACGUCAUCGAGAACGCCGUGGACAACCUGGACGCGCGCAGCGACAAGCACACCGUCAUGGACAUGUGCAACCAGGUCUUCUGCCCGCCGCUCAAGUUCGAGUUCCAGCCGCACAUGGGGGAUGAGGUGUGCCAGGUGAGCGCCCAGCAGCCUGUGCAGACCGAGCUGCUGAUGCGGUACCACCAGCUGCAGUCUCGGCUGGCCACCCUCAAGAUAGAGAAUGAAGAGGUACGGAAAACGCUGGAUGCCACGAUGCAGACCUUGCAGGACAUGCUGACAGUGGAAGAUUUUGAUGUUUCAGAUGCCUUCCAGCACAGCCGUUCCACUGAGUCGGUCAAAUCAGCUGCAUCAGAGACCUACAUGAGCAAAAUCAACAUUGCCAAGAGGAGAGCCAACCAGCAGGAGACUGAAAUGUUCUAUUUCACUAAAUUUAAGGAGUAUCUGAAUGGCAGUAACCUCAUCACGAAGCUCCAGGCUAAACACGACCUGCUGAAGCAAACUCUAGGAGAAGGUGAAAGAGCUGAGUGCGGAACAACCAGGCCCCCAUGUCUUCCCCCUAAGCCACAGAAAAUGAGGAGACCUAGGCCUCUCUCAGUCUAUAAUCAUAAACUCUUUAACGGCAAUAUGGAAACAUUCAUUAAGGAUUCAGGACAGGCCAUUCCACUUGUUGUAGAGAGCUGCAUCCGCUACAUCAAUCUGUAUGGCCUCCAGCAGCAGGGCAUCUUCAGAGUCCCUGGCUCCCAGGUGGAAGUCAACGACAUCAAGAACUCGUUUGAGAGAGGUGAAGACCCCCUUGCUGAUGAUCAGAACGAACGAGACAUUAACUCAGUGGCUGGAGUCUUGAAGCUGUAUUUCCGAGGACUGGAAAACCCCCUCUUUCCUAAGGAAAGGUUUCAAGAUUUGAUAUCUACUAUAAAAAUUGAGAACCCUGCAGAGAGAGUGCACCAGAUCCAGCAGAUCAUUGUCACUCUGCCUCGGGCUGUCAUCGUGGUCAUGAGAUACCUCUUUGCAUUCCUUAACCACUUGUCACAGUACAGCGAUGAGAACAUGAUGGAUCCCUACAACCUGGCCAUCUGCUUCGGGCCCACGCUGAUGCACAUUCCUGACGGGCAGGAUCCGGUGUCCUGCCAGGCCCAUGUCAAUGAGGUCAUCAAAACCAUCAUCAUCCACCACGAGGGCAUCUUCCCCAGCCACCGAGAGCUGGAGGGGCCUGUCUACGAGAAGUGCAUGACCGGAGGGGAGGAGUACUGUGACAGCCCGCACAGCGAGCCGGGCACCAUCGACGAGGUGGACCACGACAACGGGACAGAGCCGCACACCAGUGACGAGGAGGUGGAGCAGAUUGAAGCCAUAGCCAAGUUUGACUACAUUGGGCGAUCUCCACGGGAGCUCUCCUUUAAGAAAGGGGCCUCACUGCUGCUGUACCAUCGGGCGUCGGAAGACUGGUGGGAAGGGAGACACAACGGGGUGGACGGGCUCAUUCCCCACCAGUACAUCGUGGUGCAAGACAUGGACGAUGCGUUCUCUGACAGCCUGAGCCAGAAGGCAGACAGCGAGGCGAGCAGCGGGCCGCUGCUGGACGAUAAAGCCUCCUCCAAGAACGACAUCCAGUCACCAACAGAUCACAUCAUGGACUAUGGCUUUGGGGGAGUGAUGGGCAGGGUGAGAUUGAGGUCUGAUGGUGCAGCCAUCCCCCGGCGCCGCAGCGGGGGGGACACGCACAGCCCGCCCCGAGGCCUGGGGCCCGGCAUAGACACCCCUCCUCGAGCAGCAGCCUGCCCCAGCAGCCCCCACAAGAUCCCCCUCAACAGGGGCAGGAUCGAGAGUCCUGAGAAGCGCAGGAUGGCGACGUUCGGCAGCGCGGGCAGCAUCAAUUUCCCAGACAGGAAGGCCCUGGCUGACGGCCACCCUCUGAGGUCGACCUGUGGCUCCACCCGGCACAGCAGCCUUGGAGAUCAGAAAUCCCUGGAAGCAGAAGCUCUUGCUGAGGACAUCGAGAAGACCAUGAGCACGGCGCUGAACGAGCUGCGGGAGCUGGAGAGGCAGAACACGGCCAAGCAGGCGCCCGACGUGGUCCUGGACACGCUGGAGCCCAUGAAGAACCCCCCGCCGGGCGCCGCCAACUCGGAGCCGGCCAGCCCCCUGCACACCAUCCUGAUCCGGGACCCCGAGGCGGCCAUGCGGCGCAGCAGCAGCUCCACCGCCGAGAUGAUGACCACCUUCAAGCCGGCGCUGUCGGCCCGGCUGGCCGGGGCGCAGCUGCGGCCGCCGCCCAUGCGGCCGGUGCGGCCCGUGGUGCAGCACCGCUCCAGCAGCAGCAGCAGCUCGGGGGUGGGCAGCCCCGCCGUCACCCCCACCGAGAAGCUGUUCCCCAGCAGCUCGGCAGAUAAAUCGGGCACCAUGUAGGCUGGGGCGCGGGGACUGCGGCAGCCGGACGCCGGGAGCGGGGCGGGCGCGGCGGAGCCUCGCUGGGUGGGCAGGGGGGCAGAGCCCUGCCCGGGGAGCCUCUGUGGAAGGAAACACGCGUGGGGCCUGUACAUACAUGUGUGUGUAUGCACAUAGGUGUGCACGCACCCCAUCCAUGCAGAAACACUUCCCGAGCUUGCAGUCCUACAGCAGGAGGAGACGGCAGGUCUACGUGUUGGCACUGGAGAGCACGCUCAGUGUAGAAGUAUAUAUUAAAAACAAAGUGUACAGAAUUCAGUGACUUUUUAAAACAGUAGAUUUACCUCAGAAACUGGCUCUGAAAUGUCCUCUCUUGAGACAGUGGGUUGGUCUGGGUUUCCAAGGCUGUCUGUGUGCACCUGGAAGCCCACGCUGCAGCAGCUGUGCGUCAAGCAAUACAAGGCCAUCCUGGAAUUUAUUUUCUGUACCUCUUGGCAUUGAAAAAAAAAAGGGAUGGGAAAUACAGUGGGGUCUGUUCACUGCUGGGCUGUGGAGAAGAGCUGGAAAUCCAUACAUGACCAUGUGUGACUGGCCAGCAGGAGUCUUUCCAAUCCUGAAUCCUGAGAUGUCUUCAUGUGCCUGUGAUGCCCUGGCAGCAGGGACAAACCGAGCACUGCUGUGGACGCCAGCUCUGCAGGAGAAGCAGCCUGACUUCUGGAAGCAGUGGAGGCCCUGCCCAGGGUGGCAGAAGCCGUCAGUCCUGCCGUGGCUCGUGUUUCCUCGGUGGGGAGCUCCCACGCGUGCCAGACUGCCUGUACAUUGACACCUGUACCUGUGCUUCACAGCUGCAGCCCACCUCUCACCUCCACAGCUGCGCCCUGUGCACCGGGCACAGAGCUGACACCGCAGGCCGUGGGACCGGCUGGCGCCCGUCCCGUGCCCGGCCCCCGUGUCCCCUCGCGCCCCGCUCUGCCAGCCCUGUAAAUAUUGCUGUACUUGCUUAACUGCUCGAAAGUAACUGUUAACCUGUAAAUGUACAAAAAUAGGCUCAAAUUAGAUAAAGCCAAUGCCACUCAACAAAUCUUUGCACUUAGUAGGUAGCUCAAUGUAAAAACAAACCCAGUAAUAAUAAUAGUAAUCCCGAAGGGAAGCGAAGCCGCCGGCACCCCGCGCAGAGCCCGUGGGGAGCAGCUCUGCCCGCGUCCCUCCUGUCACGCUGGCAGGGCAGACGGCGUGUGUGCGUGUCUGUGAACGUCCUUGGCGUUUGGUUCGCGUUGGUGUUUAUUUCUCCAUCGCCCCCUUUCGUGGCGCAGCCCCCGGGCACGGCCCGGCCCGGCGCGGCGGCUGCAGGUGCUCAGCGGGGCCGGGCUGGUCAGGGACCUGUGCUGGGGAGGGAAGGACCCAUUUGGCACGAGUGCUGUGUAUCCAUUGCCAGUAAUUAUUACUUUUGUUUCCAUUUAGUUCCUGGAGAACAUUCACUUUGCCAGUUUUCUGGUUUUUGUAUGCUUUCUGAGAUGACUUGAGAGCAAACCCAUCUUCAUUAGGGGUUUUAUUUCCUCCCUUACUUUUGACCAUACGGUACAAAUUCUAGUGUCUUUCUAUUAAAUUAUUGCCUUUCAUUUUCCUUUGUUUUGUUUUGUUGUGGGUUUUUAAUACAAUUGUUUUCUUAUCUUUAAGUGCCUUUUUGAGCACCAAAACAAACGGUUGGAGUUCAGGCCUGGGGGCUGUGCACACAUGGGUUCGUCUGGGCAGUUGUGUUGUGCUGGGGGUGAUUGCUUUUAAAGUCCUUCCAUUUUUCUGUUUAAUGAAAAGGGAACCAAGAAUCUUUGUUGGAGAAUAAACUCCCCCUUUGUAAUAUGGUAUUCCAAGUGUAGUUUUAACUGCUGUAAAUUUGAGGGAAGAAAUGUAUUUUUCUGUAAGCGAACUUGGCACAAAAUCGAACCACAUGCGUUGUAGGAGCAUCAUAACUGGAACUCGCU